rnacentral:rRNA from 1 species
UUGCCUACGGGGGGCAGCAGCGAGGAAUAUUGGUCAAUGGUCGGGAGACUGAACCAGCCAAGCCGCGUGAGGGAGGAAGGUACAGAGUAUCGUAAACCUCUUUUGUCAGGGGACAAAGACUGGGACGCGUCCCCGGAUGAGUGUACCUGAAGAAAAAGCAUCGGCUAACUCCGUGCCAGCAGCCGCGGUAAUACGUAGGUGGCAAGCGUUAUCCGGAUUUAUUGGGCGUAAAGGGAACGCAGGCGGUCUUUUAAGUCUGAUGUGAAAGCCUUCGGCUUAACCGGAG